rnacentral:rRNA from 1 species
UACGGAGGGGGCUAGCGUUGUUCGGAAUUACUGGGCGUAAAGCGCACGUAGGCGGCUUGGUAAGUUAGAGGUGAAAGCCCGGAGCUCAACUCCGGAAUUGCCUUUAAGACUGCCGAGCUAGCAGGUGAGAGAGGUGAGUGGAAUUCCGAGUGUAGAGGUGAAAUUCGUAGAUAUUCGGAAGAACACCAGUGGCGAAGGCGGCUCACAUGGCUCAUACUGGACG